rnacentral:rRNA from 1 species
UACGUAGGGUGCGAGCGUUGUCCGGAAUUACUGGGCGUAAAGAGCUCGUAGGUGGUUUGUCGCGUUGUUCGUGAAAACUCACAGCUCAACUGUGGGCGUGCGGGCGAUACGGGCAGACUAGAGUACUGCAGGGGAGACUGGAAUUCCUGGUGUAGCGGUGAAAUGCGCAGAUAUCAGGAGGAACACCGGUGGCGAAGGCGGGUCUCUGGGCCGUAACUGACGCUGAGGAGCGAAAGCAUGGGGAGCGAACAGG